rnacentral:tRNA from 1 species
ACGCUACGGACUUAAAAUCCGUCGACUUUAUAAGUCGUGAGGGUUCAAGNUCUCUAUCCCCA